AAUUUUACAAAGUUUUUAGGUUAAUUUUAUAUUUAAUUCAAGUUUGGGUAUAAGUUUGGAGUUAAAAUCAAAUUGUGAGUUUAUUUUGGCAAAUUUCCCAUUCCACAAUCAGGAAAAAUGUUUUUAAACUUUAUUUUACAAUUAGUUGAAUGGUUUGUAUGUUGUUGCGCAUGUGGCUCCACGUACCUUCGAUGUGACCAACACAACAG
rnacentral:lncRNA from 1 species